rnacentral:lncRNA from 1 species
AUGUAUUGUUGCCUUAUGUGACCACCGCUUUGUUGGAAAAUUAAGAUAUGAUUGUAUUCCCUGAUGCUUGUUUGUUUGCUUAUGUGAUUAUGGUUGAUUUGGAAAAUGGAGACUAACAAAAAAUGGGAAAGUUGUGUGAAAAAAUGAAUAGAUGAAGACGGUAGCCUUACUGGAUAUCCUGGGAGACAGUGGACGGGCUGGGUAGAUAGAGAACCCUACCGUGAACGUUAUCUCAUAUUGGACGGGGUAUGGAGACAUGAUAAUUUGGCACUCAUACCGGACGGGGUAUGGGGACGGACUACUUCACCCUCAUAACGGACGAGCUAUUGAGGUUAAAUAAUUUGGUGCUUAUACCGGAUGGGGUAUGGGGACAGCACAUAAUUGAGAUUGUUAAAGGAAAGGGUUCGUGUGUAGCAGGGACAUCCCUAUAAACCCCAUGGAUACUAGUAGGCUGGUGAAAAAAUAACAGUUAUUGUUUGGUUUAUUGACGAUAU